rnacentral:rRNA from 1 species
GAGGAAUAAGCAUCGGCUAACUCCGUGCCAGCAGCCGCGGUAAUACGGGGGAUGCAAGCGUUAUCCGGAAUCAUUGGGCGUAAAGCGCCUGUAGGUUGUUUAAUAAGUCUGUUGUUAAAGACUAGGGCUUAACCCUAGGAAAGCAAUGGAAACUACUAGACUAGAGUAUGGUAGGGGUAGAGGGAAUUUCUAGUGUAGCGGUGAAAUGCGUAGAUAUUAGAAAGAACACCGGUGGCGAAGGCGCUCUACUGGACCAUUACUGACACUCAGAGGCGAAAGCUAGGGUAGCAAAAGGGAUUAGAUACCCCUGUAGUCCUAGCCGUAAACGAUGGAUACUAGAUGUUGCGUUUUUAUGCAGUAUCCUAGCUAACGCGUUAAGUAUCCCGCCUGGGGAGUACGCUCGCAAGGGUGAAACUCAAAGGAAUUGACGGGGGCCCGCACAAGCGGUGGAGCAUGUGGUUUAAUUCGAUGCAACGCGAAGAACCUUACCAAGGCUUGACAUACUACAGAUCUCUUUGAGAAAGGAGAGUGCCUUCGGGAAUGUAGAUACAGGUGGUGCAUGGCUGUCGUCAGCUCGUGUCGUGAGAUGUUGGGUUAAGUCCCGCAACGAGCGCAACCCUUAUUUUUAGUUACCAAUUUUUUGGGUUUUCUAGAGAGACUGCCGGUGACAAACCGGAGGAAGGUGAGGAUGACGUCAAGUCAGCAUGCCCCUUAUGCCUUGGGCUACACACGUGCUACAAUGGCUAAGACAAAGAGUUGCGAACUUGCGAAAGUCAGCUAAUCUCAUAAACUUAGCCUAAGUUCGGAUUGUAGGCUGCAACUCGCCUACGUGAAG